UAGCAUAUCAAUAAGCGGAGGAAAAGAAACCAACAGGGAUUGCCCCAGUAACGGCGAGUGAAGCGGCAACAGCUCAAAUUUGAAAUCUGGUCCCCAGGGCCCGAGUUGUAAUUUGUAGAGGAUGCUUUUGGCGAGGCGCCUUCCGAGUUCCCUGGAACGGGACGCCACAGAGGGUGAGAGCCCCGUCUGGUCGGAUGCCAAGCCUAUGUAAAGCUCCUUCGACGAGUCGAGUAGUUUGGGAAUGCUGCUCAAAAUGGGAGGUAUAUGUCUUCUAAAGCUAAAUACCGGCCAGAGACCGAUAGCGCACAAGUAGAGUGAUCGAAAGAUGAAAAGCACUUUGAAAAGAGGGUUAAAAAGUACGUGAAAUUGUUGAAAGGGAAGCGCCUAUGACCAGACUUGGGCCCGGUGAAUCAUCCAGCGUUCUCGCUGGUGCACUUUGCCGGGCACAGGCCAGCAUCAGUUUGGCGCGGGGGACAAAGGCUUCGGGAAUGUGGCUCCCCUCGGGGAGUGUUAUAGCCCGUUGCGCAAUACCCUGCGCCGGACUGAGGUACGCGCUCCGCAAGGAUGCUGGCGUAAUGGUCAUCAGCGACCCGUCUUGAAACACGGACCAAGGAGUCGUCUUCGUAUGCGAGUGUUCGGGUGUAAAACCCCUACGCGUAAUGAAAGUGAACGCAGGUGAGAGCUUCGGCGCAUCACCGACCGAUCCUGAUGUUCUCGGAUGGAUUUGAGUAAGAGCAUACGGGGCCGGACCCGAAAGAAGGUGAACUAUGCCUGUAUAGGGUGAAGCCAGAGGAAACUCUGGUGGAGGCUCGCAGCGGUUCUGACGUGCAAAUCGAUCGUCAAAUAUGGGCAUGGGGGCGAAAGACUAAUCGAACCUUCUAGUAGCUGG
rnacentral:rRNA from 1 species